UCCGGCUUAUCACCGGCAGUCCCCUUAGAGUGCCCAACUGAAUGAUGGCAACUAAGGACAAGGGUUGCGCUCGUUGCGGGACUUAACCCAACAUCUUACGACACGAGCUGACGACAGCCAUGCAGCACCUAUCUCCACGUCCCCGAAGGGAAAGCUCCAUCUCUGGAGUUGUCGUGGGAUGUUAAGCCCAGGUAAGGUUCUGCGCGUUGCUUCGAAUUAAACCACAUACUCCACCGCUUGUGCGGGCCCCCGUCAAUUCCUUUGAGUUUUAGUCUUGCGACCGUACUCCCCAGGCGGGUUACUUAAUGCGUGAGCUCCGGUACCCAGGAGGUUAACAUCCCGGACACCUAGUAACCAUAGUUUACGUGCACUU
rnacentral:misc_RNA from 1 species